rnacentral:rRNA from 1 species
UCAGGACGAACGCUGGCGGCGUGCUUAACACAUGCAAGUCGAACGAUGAAGCCUUCGGGUGGAUUAGUGGCGAACGGGUGAGUAACACGUGGGUAACCUGCCCUGUACUCUGGGAUAAGCCUUGGAAACGAGGUCUAAUACCGGAUAUGACUCUGCACUGCAUGGUGUGGGGUGGAAAGUUCCGGCGGUAUGGGAUGGACCCGCGGCCUAUCAGCUUGUUGGUGGGGUAAUGGCCUACCAAGGCGACGACGGGUAGCCGGCCUGAGAGGGCGACCGGCCACACUGGGACUGAGAUACGGCCCAGACUCCUACGGGAGGCAGCAGUGGGGAAUAUUGCACAAUGGGCGAAAGCCUGAUGCAGCGACGCCGCGUGAGGGAUGACGGCCUUCGGGUUGUAAACCUCUUUCAGCAGGGACGAAGCGUAAGUGACGGUACCUGCAGAAGAAGCACCGGCUAACUACGUGCCAGCAGCCGCGGUAAUACGUAGGGUGCGAGCGUUGUCCGGAAUUAUUGGGCGUAAAGAGCUCGUAGGCGGUUUGUUGCGUCGGCCGUGAAAACCUGCAGCUUAACUGUGGGCCUGCGGUCGAUACGGGCAGACUUGAGUUCGGUAGGGGAGACUGGAAUUCCUGGUGUAGCGGUGAAAUGCGCAGAUAUCAGGAGGAACACCGGUGGCGAAGGCGGGUCUCUGGGCCGAUACUGAC